rnacentral:rRNA from 1 species
GGUAGUAUUAACAACAUUAAACCUCUAAAACUUGGCGGUUACAAUAUUUUAAAGAAACUCGUUUUUUAAUCGAUACUACCCGAUAAUUUUUACUUAAUCAAUUUAUAUACCGCCGUUUCAGAACCUUUAAAAAUAAAAUUUCAAAAUCAAUAAUCUAUAAAAAUCAGGUCAAGGUGUAAUUUAUAUUUAAGAAAAAAUAAGUUACAAAUAAUUCUCGAAUUAAGGAUUUAAUUUUAAAACUUAAAGGAAAAAGAAUUUAAAAUUAAUUUUGAUCUAAAAAAUCAAUAAGAAAUUAAUUAUUGUAAUGC